AAAAAAACCAGAGGUAGAAAGUGUUAAGCCUUAGUUACCGCACCAAACAAUUGACAUGCUUCCUACCCACCCUCAGACCUGGUUGUUAAAUGCAAGCUAUACAUUAUGCAGACCCGAUAAUGAAAAUCUACAUUCCAUAAUUUGCAACCUGCUGGCUCUGUUAUGCCAAGUGCAUCUUAAAGAAGGCAUCUUUCAACCUAAUUGCAUGCAAUUUUUCCCCAUUCUAAUUGUGUUAUGAAAAUACCACUAUCUCAUUCAAGCACAACCAGAUCACUUUGCUUUUCCCCUAAAGCACACAUCAGUAAAGCAAAACAAAACUGACGACUUUCUAUUUUGCUAUGCACCCAGGAAUCCCAAAUCGAAGUGUAAUGGUUACUGACAAGCACUUUUUUUUCUGUAAGCCUCCAGGUCAGAUGUUGGGAGAUUUUUCUUGUUUCCAGGGUUAGGAUUGCAAAUAAUAGCAACCUACACACAUAGAUAAAUGUCUCAACCAAGGGUGAUUUUGUCCCCCGUCUUCCUCACUCCUCAGGGACAUUUGGCAAAUGUCUGGUGGCAUUUUUAGUUGUCAUAUCAGGGAGGAGGGUACUUGUAUGUAGUGGAUGGAGGCCAGGACUGCUGAUAAAUAUUAUACAAUGUUCAGCACAGCCCUUCCACAAAAGGAAAUAUUCUGCCCAAGGUAUGAAUAUUACCAAGGUUGAGAAACCCUGGAGUCUAAGGUAAUGUUAAAGGACAUUUGGUUAAACUCACCUAUGGUAACACAUUGAUUGUACCCUUGUGUGUGUCAAAGAGUUUUAGGCCAGGCACAGCGGCUCACACCUAUAAUCCUAGCAUUUUGGGAGGCCGAAGUGGGUGGAUCACAAGGUCAGGAGUUUGAGACCAGCCUGGCCAACAUGGUGAAA
rnacentral:lncRNA from 1 species